GUUAACCGAAUAGGGGAGCCGGAGGGAAACCGAGUCUUAACCGGGCGUUAAGUUGCAGGGUAUAGACCCGAAACCCGGUGAUCUAGCCAUGGGCAGGUUGAAGGUUGGGUAACACUAACUGGAGGACCGAACCGACUAAUGUUGAAAAAUUAGCGGAUGACCUGUGGCUGGGGGUGAAAGGCCAAUCAAACCGGGAGAUAGCUGGUUCUCCCCGAAAGCUAUUUAGGUAGCGCCUCGUGAAUUCAUCUCCGGGGGUAGAGCACUGUUUCGGCUAGGGGGCCAUCCCGGCUUACCAACCCGAUGCAAACUGCGAAUACCGGAGAAUGUUAUCACGGGAGACACACGGCGGGUGCUAACGUCCGUCGUGAAGAGGGAAACAACCCAGACCGCCAGCUAAGGUCCCAAAGUCAUGGUUAAGUGGGAAACGAUGUGGGAAGGCCCAGACAGCCAGGAUGUUGGCUUAGAAGCAGCCAUCAUUUAAAGAAAGCGUAAUAGCUCACUGGUCGAGUCGGCCUGCGCGGAAGAUGUAACGGGGCUAAACCAUGCACCGAAGCUGCGGCAGCGACACUGUGUGUUGUUGGGUAGGGGAGCGUUCUGUAAGCCUGUGAAGGUGUGUCGUGAGGCAUGCUGGAGGUAUCAGAAGUGCGAAUGCUGACAUAAGUAACGAUAAAGCGGGUGAAAAGCCCGCUCGCCGGAAGACCAAGGGUUCCUGUCCAACGUUAAUCGGGGCAGGGUGAGUCGACCCCUAAGGCGAGGCCGAAAGGCGUAGUCGAUGGGAAACGGGUUAAUAUUCCCGUACUUGGUGUUACUGCGAAGGGGGGACGGAGAAGGCUAUGUUGGCCGGGCGACGGUUGUCCCGGUUUAAGCGUGUAGGUGUGUGUUCCAGGUAAAUCCGGUUCACUUUAACACUGAGGCGUGACGACGAGGCACUACGGUGCUGAAGCAACAAAUGCCCUGCUUCCAGGAAAAGCCUCUAAGCAUCAGGUAACAUCAAAUCGUACCCCAAACCGACACAGGUGGUCAGGUAGAGAAUACCAAGGCGCUUGAGAGAACUCGGGUGAAGGAACUAGGCAAAAUGGUGCCGUAACUUCGGGAGAAGGCACGCUGACACGUAGGUGAAGUGAUUUACUCAUGGAGCUGAAGUCAGUCGAAGAUACCAGCUGGCUGCAACUGUUUAUUAAAAACACAGCACUGUGCAAACACGAAAGUGGACGUAUACGGUGUGACGCCUGCCCGGUGCCGGAAGGUUAAUUGAUGGGGUCAGCGCAAGCGAAGCUCCUGAUCGAAGCCCCGGUAAACGGCGGCCGUAACUAUAACGGUCCUAAGGUAGCGAAAUUCCUUGUCGGGUAAGUUCCGACCUGCACGAAUGGCGUAAUGAUGGCCAGGCUGUCUCCACCCGAGACUCAGUGAAAUUGAACUCGCUGUGAAGAUGCAGUGUACCCGCGGCAAGACGGAAAGACCCCGUGAACCUUUACUAUAGCUUGACACUGAACAUUGAGCCUUGAUGUGUAGGAUAGGUGGGAGGCUUUGAAGUGUGGACGCCAGUCUGCAUGGAGCCGACCUUGAAAUACCACCCUUUAAUGUUUGAUGUUCUAACGUGGACCCGUUACCCGGGUUGCGGACAGUGUCUGGUGGGUAGUUUGACUGGGGCGGUCUCCUCCUAAAGAGUAACGGAGGAGCACGAAGGUUGGCUAAUCCUGGUCGGACAUCAGGAGGUUAGUGCAAUGGCAUAAGCCAGCUUGACUGCGAGCGUGACGGCGCGAGCAGGUGCGAAAGCAGGUCAUAGUGAUCCGGUGGUUCUGAAUGGAAGGGCCAUCGCUCAACGGAUAAAAGGUACUCCGGGGAUAACAGGCUGAUACCGCCCAAGAGUUCAUAUCGACGGCGGUGUUUGGCACCUCGAUGUCGGCUCAUCACAUCCUGGGGCUGAAGUAGGUCCCAAGGGUAUGGCUGUUCGCCAUUUAAAGUGGUACGCGAGCUGGGUUUAGAACGUCGUGAGACAGUUCGGUCCCUAUCUGCCGUGGGCGCUGGAGAACUGAGGGGGGCUGCUCCUAGUACGAGAGGACCGGAGUGGACGCAUCACUGGUGUUCGGGUUGUCAUGCCAAUGGCACUGCCCGGUAGCUAAAUGCGGAAGAGAUAAGUGCUGAAAGCAUCUAAGCACGAAACUUGCCCCGAG
rnacentral:rRNA from 1 species